CAAAACCUCCCGACUGCACCGCCCUAGGAUAAAUAUAGUGUCGGCGCCAUUACAUUUCCGAUCUAGGCAACCACUGUACACCAUGGCAUUGAAGAGCUCGUGCUGAAAAAAAUGUCCGCAAUUAAUCCUAAGAAUAUUCAACACAGCAAAUUGAUGUUGAAAUACUACUGUAAAUUCCCCGGCUGUUCAUCUGGAUAUUACAUGGGUUCAGCGGAGAAGUUAGCAACAAGCAUUUCUGCAGGUUUCUAAAACAAUAUCAUGAAUUCCUUCUGAAGUGGAAAAGUGUUUAUAAACUAUCGCCUAAUGUCAACUGUGCUACUUAUAUUUUUGUGAAGAUAAUUUUUUCGAAGAAGAUUUUAUGAACAAA